rnacentral:rRNA from 1 species
GCAUGCAAGUCGAGCGGACAGAUGGGAGCUUGCUCCCUGAUGUUAGCGGCGGACGGGUGAGUAACACGUGGGUAACCUGCCUGUAAGACUGGGAUAACUCCGGGAAACCGGGGCUAAUACCGGAUGGUUGUCUGAACCGCAUGGUUCAGACAUAAAAGGUGGCUUCGGCUACCACUUACAGAUGGACCCGCGGCGCAUUAGCUAGUUGGUGAGGUAACGGCUCACCAAGGCGACGAUGCGUAGCCGACCUGAGAGGGUGAUCGGCCACACUGGGACUGAGACACGGCCCAGACUAAUACGGGAGGCAGCAGUAGGGAAUCUUCCGCAAUGGACGAAAGUCUGACGGAGCAACGCCGCGUGAGUGAUGAAGGUUUUCGGAUCGUAAAGCUCUGUUGUUAGGGAAGAACAAGUGCCGUUCAAAUAGGGCGGCACCUUGACGGUACCUAACCAGAAAGCCACGGCUAACUACGUGCCAGCAGCCGCGGUAAUACGUAGGUGGCAAGCGUUGUCCGGAAUUAUUGGGCGUAAAGGGCUCGCAGGCGGUUUCUUAAGUCUGAUGUGAAAGCCCCCGGCUCAACCGGGGAGGGUCAUUGGAAACUGGGGAACUUGAGUGCAGAAGAGGAGAGUGGAAUUCCACGUGUAGCGGUGAAAUGCGUAGAGAUGUGGAGGAACACCAGUGGCGAAGGCGACUCUCUGGUCUGUAACUGACGCUGAGGAGCGAAAGCGUGGGGAGCGAACAGGAUUAGAUACCCUGGUAGUCCACGCCGUAAACGAUGAGUGCUAAGUGUUAGGGGGUUUCCGCCCCUUAGUGCUGCAGCUAACGCAUUAAGCACUCCGCCUGGGGAGUACGGUCGCAAGACUGAAACUCAAAGGAAUUGACGGGGGCCCGCACAAGCGGUGGAGCAUGUGGUUUAUUCGAAGCACCGCAAGAACCUUACCAGGUCUUGACAUCCUCUGACAUCCUAGAGAUAGGACGUCCCUUCGGGG